rnacentral:sRNA from 1 species
GGUAUACUGUUUUACCCUUGUGUGUCUGUCUGUCUGUUUGUCCUUCAGUCUGUCUAUAACAGAAAUUUCGGUUGCAUUUUUCUCAGCAACUAUUCAUUGCAGGGGCUUGAAAUUUUAACGCACUAUUUGUUUAGGCAUGCCAUAUGUUGGGAUCUAGUUUUGUACCAAUCUUACAUCAACUUCCUGUUAAAUGACAACAUUUUUUAUUUUAAGCCAAAAUUUUCAAACAAAUUUUCCUCAAAGAUUACACAGCAACUUUUCAUUGCAGAUGCUUAACCUUAACACAGGCUUUGAUAAGGCAUGUUAUAUGAUGGAAUUCAUUUUUGUACCAAUUGGACAUCAAUUUCCUGUUAAAUGAUGACUUUGUGUAUACGUUUAGCCCACCGGUAAAUUUUAUUUUUGUCAAAGAUUUCUCAGCAACUUCCGGUAUUCAUCGCAGAUGCGUGAAAUAUUAAGACAUUCAAGUUUGUUUAGGCAUGCCAUAUGGAGUGAAUUAGUUUUUUAUCAUAAGUCAACUUUCUGUUAAAUGUUGACUUUUCUUUUUUUGCAUAUACACAUCAGAUCGGGGGUAUUACUAGUGAGCAUUGGUUCACGGAUAUCUUGUUCAUUUUCAAAGAUUACUUGUUUUAUAGCCUUCCACAUAAAAAAUGAAACUG